rnacentral:rRNA from 1 species
UACGGAGGGUGCAAACGUUGCUCGGAAUCAUUGGGCGUAAAGCGCACGUAGGCGGACCAUCAAGUCGGUUGUGAAAUCCCUCGGCUUAACCGAGGACGUGCAUUCGAAACUGAUGGCCUUGAGUACGAAAGAGGAUCGCGGAAUUCCCGGUGUAGAGGUGAAAUUCGUAGAUAUCGGGAGGAACACCAGUGGCGAAGGCGGCGAUCUGGGUCGAUACUGACGCUGAGGUGCGAAAGCGUGGGGAGCAAACAGGAUUAGAAACCCGGGUAGUCC